UUUUGUCUAUCUCCUCUGGUUCAAAAGUUGUAGUGCUAAAACAUCGAAAUUUGCCCACCCUGUACAUGGUAGGAAGGACUAGAACGAAUAAGGGAUUCAGAGUACGAAUUGGAAACCAAUAUAUGGUCUUCAGAUUCGAUAUUGUUUCUAAUCAAGAAACCAAUGAUAGCGAAUACUACAAUGGCUGAAAGCAAACAUAGUUGCCAAACAGCUUUUUCCAACCAAACAACUGCUGAAACAAAAAGAAAAAGCGAUUAGAGGCGCUAUGACAUAUGAAUACAACCCCCAAGAUAUUGAAAGAAUUGAAAAGGAAAGAUUUUUAAGAAAUCCACACAAUAUUCGAGAAAAGAACAUUAGCGCAAGAAAUCGAUAGGGCCAAUCUAUUGGAUAUUAGGUUGGUUGAGUUGGAGCAGAGAGCUUGUCAUCUUGAUAAGGUCAGCACCUCCACAAAAUCAAGCAUCGCUCAGAUCAACGACCGAAAUAGGAAUAUUGAAGAAACUGAAAUGGCUAUUAUCUUAGUGCCGAAAAGGACUCACAAUCCCAAAAUGUACGAGAAGGAAAGGCAUUGACAAACUGAUAUAUGUAUAUAUGUGAAUAAUCCUUUUGUAAUAAUUUGGAUAAUAUGCAAGAUAUAAGAUAUUUGCAUUAACCCAGUGAAAAGUUGAUUUUACAGAUAAAAAAAAUUGUUUUAUAUGUGAAAAGAUUAAUAUUUUAGUCUUCAAAUGUUCUUGUUUAGCAGUAUUUUGCAUAACUUAUUUUUUGUAUUUAUUAUAAAUUUUUUAAUAUAUUUCACCAUUUUCUUA